rnacentral:rRNA from 1 species
AUUGAACGCUGGCGGCAUGCCUUACACAUGCAGGUCGAACGGUAACAGGUCUUCGGACGCUGACGGGUGGCGAACGGGUGAGUAAUACAUCGGAACGUGCCCAGUCGUGGGGGAUAACUACUCGAAAGAGUAGCUAAUACCGCAUACGAUCUGAGGAUGAAAGCGGGGGACCUUCGGGCCUCGCGCGAUUGGAGCGGCCGAUGGCAGAUUAGGUAGUUGGUGGGAUAAAAGCUUACCAAGCCGACGAUCUGUAGCUGGUCUGAGAGGACGACCAGCCACACGGGGACUGAGACACGGCCCAGACUCCUACGGGAGGCAGCAGUGGGGAAUUUUGGACAAUGGGCGAAAGCCUGAUCCAGCAAUGCCGCGUGCAGGAUGAAGGCCUUCGGGUUGUAAGCUGCUUUUGUACGGAACGAAAAAGCUCCUUCUAAUACAGGGGGCCCAUGACGGUACCGUAAGAAUAAGCACCGGCUAACUACGUGCCAGCCGCCGCGGUAA